ACAGGGUAUUGCCCUAGUAACGGCGAGUGAAGCGGCAACAGCUCAAAUUUGAAAUCUGGCUUCGGCCCGAGUUGUAAUUUGUAGAGGAUGCUUCAGGCGCGGCGCCUUCCAAGUCCCCUGGAACGGGGCGCCAGAGAGGGUGAGAGCCCCGUACUGUCGGACGCCAAGCCUAUGUGAAGCUCCUUCGACGAGUCGAGUAGUUUGGGAAUGCUGCUCAAAAUGGGAGGUAGACCCCUUCUAAAGCUAAAUACCGGCCAGAGACCGAUAGCGCACAAGUAGAGUGAUCGAAAGAUGAAAAGUACUUUGAAAAGAAGGUUAAAUAGCACGUGAAAUUGUUGAAAGGGAAGCGCUCGUGACCAGACUUGCGCCGGGGCGAUCAUCUGGCGUUCUCGCCUGUGCACUCGCUCCGGCUCAGGCCAGCGUCGGUUCGCGUGGGGGGAUAAAGGCGCCGGGAACGUGGCUCCCUCGGGAGUGUUAUAGCCCGGCGCGUCAUGCCUCCGUGUGGACCGAGGUUCGCGCUCUGCAAGGACGCUGGCGUAAUGGUUACUAGCGACCCGUCUUGAAACACGGACCAAGGAGUCGAGGUUCUGCGCGAGUGUUUGGGUGUCAAACCCGCACGCGUAAUGAAAGUGAACGUAGGUGGGAGCUUCGGCGCACCACCGACCGAUCCUGAUGUUCUCGGAUGGAUUUGAGUAGGAGCGUGGGGCCUCGGACCCGAAAGAUGGUGAACUAUGCUUGGAUAGGGUGAAGUCAGAGGAAACUCUGAUGGAGGCUCGCAGCGGUUCUGACGUGCAAAUCGAUCGUCAAAUCUGAGCAUGGGGGCGAAAGACUAAUCGAAC
rnacentral:rRNA from 1 species